GCGUGCGUUGAACGCUUGCCAUGUGAACCUACGGUUAGUGAAAAACGAUAAAGAACAUUUCACAUGCCACUAGCCCACUACAAUAAUUUGUAAAGACAAUAUUCUUGGUUUAUUAUAAUAAUAUAAUAACCACUUUAUUUCCAUAAGCUAGAAUGUUCACGUAUAUUUUGGAAGAUCACCUAAAGAGGUUAGGACAUGUCAUGACCACAGAAUUCAAUAAAACCCAUAAAUGUGAAUUAUCAAAUUUACCUUAUAUUUACCAAUUAAUAUUGUAUAACAUUGUAUUAAAAUAGACUAAUAGACAGAUAAAAAUU